UACGUAGGGUGCAAGCGUUAAUCGGAAUUACUGGGCGUAAAGCGUGCGCAGGCGGUUCUAUAAGACAGAUGUGAAAUCCCCGGGCUCAACCUGGGAACUGCAUUUGUGACUGUAGAGCUGGAGUACGGCAGAGGGGGAUGGAAUUCCACGUGUAGCAGUGAAAUGCGUAGAGAUGUGGAGGAAUACCGAUGGCGAAGGCAGCCUCCUGGGCCAACACUGACGCUCAUGCACGAAAGCGUGGGGAGCAAACAGG
rnacentral:rRNA from 1 species